rnacentral:rRNA from 1 species
AUACGUAGGUGGCAAGCGUUGUCCGGAAUUAUUGGGCGUAAAGCGCGCGCAGGUGGUUCCUUAAGUCUGAUGUGAAAGCCCACGGCUCAACCGUGGAGGGUCAUUGGAAACUGGGGAACUUGAGUGCAGAAGAGGAAAGUGGAAUUCCAAGUGUAGCGGUGAAAUGCGUAGAGAUUUGGAGGAACACCAGUGGCGAAGGCGACUUUCUGGACUGUGUCUGACACUGAGGCGCGAAAGCCAGGGGAGC